AUUUGUCUCUUCUCUACCCAGAUUUUUCAGCACUGUGGGAAGCAGCCACUGGGAAACUCCUUAGCCAGAGCUGGAUGAAGGCUGGGAAUCCUUUGUCUCUGAUUCCAGACUGAGAAGCCAUCAGCAAGGGAUGAAGGAGAAGAUGCUGAGGGAUGUGUCAACCACUCUUCAAGAUCAUCCCAGGAAAGCAACUAAAAGGAGCCAGAAAUUAGGUACAAUUCUUCCCUCAUUAUUUUUUGGUAAUAAUUA
rnacentral:lncRNA from 12 species